UUUUCGCCUGUAGCAAAGAGGAUGAGAACCUCCGAAGGAGGUUUGAGCCGGGCGUAGCGAGACAACGUUGCUUCAGCAACGGCCCGCAGGGCGCUUCUUACAGAGAAGCGUCAUCCUCUCUCGCCGACCA
rnacentral:sRNA from 1 species